rnacentral:snRNA from 1 species
UACAAGUCAUCAAAAAAA